AUACGUAGGGGGCGAGCGUUGUCCGGAAUGAUUGGGCGUAAAGCGCAUGUAGGCGGUUUGGUAAGUCGGUCGUGAAAAUGCGGUGCUUAACGCCGUAUGGCGAUUGAAACUGCUGAACUUGAGUGCAGGAGAGGAAAGGGGAACUCCCAGUGUAGCGGUGAAAUGCGUAGAUAUUGGGAAGAACACCGGUGGCGAAGGCGCCUUUCUGGACUGUGUCUGACGCUCAGAUGCGAAAGCCAGGGUAGCGAACGGGAUUAGAUACCCCGGUAGUCCUGGCCGUAAACGAUGGGUACUAGGUGUGGGAGGUAUCGACUCCUUCCGUGCCGGAGUUAACGCAAUAAGUACCCCGCCUGGGGAGUACGGCCGCAAGGCUUAAACUCAAAUGAAUUGACGGGG
rnacentral:rRNA from 1 species